rnacentral:rRNA from 1 species
UACGGGGGGAGCAAGCGUUGUUCGGAUUUACUGGGCGUAAAGGGCGCGUAGGCGGCCAGCACAAGUCAGUUGUGAAAUCUCCGAGCUUAACUCGGAAAGGUCAACUGAUACUGUGGCUAGAGUGCGGAAGGGGCAACUGGAAUUCUUGGUGUAGCGGUGAAAUGCGUAGAUAUCAAGAGGAACACCUGCGGCGAAGGCGGGUUGCUGGGCCGACACUGACGCUGAGGCGCGAAAGCUAGGGGAGCGAACGGG